GAGGCGUAGAAAUGCAGAUGUUGGUGAAAGGGUCAUUCAAUUGUUUCCAUAGAUGCAAUUAUCUUAUCUAAGAUAUAUGAAAAUAUGAGAAGGUGGGAUGAUUCUGCAAAGAUGAGGCAGUGUGGUGUCUCUAAAACCCCUGGCUGUAGUUGGAUUGACGUUAGAGCUGGUGCUCAUGAAUUUCAUGUUGGUGGCAGCUUAUAUCAUCAUUCGGAGAACAUAUACCAAUUGCUGAAUGAGGAGAUGAAGAGAGAAGGUUACAUUCCAAAAAUCGGUUGCAUAUAGAGGUGGAAAAGUUGAAAACUUGGUGGCCUCUUUCAGCCAUUGACAGUGCAUUCGGAGGGAUUAUAUCUUCUGGUUGAUCACUACAGCCAAAAUGUUGAAUGGUAAGUUGUGUUCUUAAGAGCUUAAGCAAGGACCUCUAUUUUGCAACUAUACAAAUGUAGUAUUCUAUGGUGAUUCAUCCUUUAGGGUGUGGGGUUCAUUCUUUGUUAAAGAAGAGGAAAGUUUUUUCCGGUGCUAAAAAGAGGAAAACACUUUCCUUUUGGAAAAAGGGUUGUGUUUUCCAUGUUUGAAACCACUUUCUUGGAAAGUGGUUUCUCAUAGUUUAUCAGACAUAGGAAAGUUGUUCCAGGAAAGUGGUUUUCAUGAAACAAGUAAGGCCAGUUUAGUUUUUUAAUGCUCCCUUCUUUGCUUUCUUAACAUUCUCCUUGUUGUGGCAAUUGCAGCUGGAAAUAUGAUAAAGCUAAAGGACAUGCUAGGAAGAGAAGAAAUGCAUUUUGAUUUGUCAGUGUUUUAAGCAAGUCGAAGUGGAGGUGAAAGCUAAGGUUUUCUAGUUUUCUGUACAUCACUUUUGGAACAUCCGAUACCUAGUCUAAGCGUAAUCAAAUGACUUUAAUCAAGCAUUGCAGCAUAUGCUGGACGUUCGAGAUUAGAGUAUUCAGAAGUGGAGAUGAAUUGUUAUGUGGAAUCUCGAGACUGCUUUGAUUCAUUAAUUUGCUCAGUACCGGGUGGUCAUCCAUUUCAAGUGGCUGGGGAGUGCCAUAUGGGCAAGGGUCAGCCCUGAAGGGAUUCGUUCUCGACAUUACCCUUUGAUAUUAGCUGGGAAACUCAAUCUAAGACAGCUCAAUACUCUCAGUUACUGAAGUUGUGGAUCAAGCAAAUUAUCUAAAGCGCUCACAAGCUUGUAUACAAUCAGUGAAAUAAAUUUGAAUUGAUAUUUGUGUUGGAAUGUACUCCCUUUAUUAUUAAAUAUUUUUAGAUAUUUGCGUUGUAAAUUUGAAUUGAUCAUCCAUAAAAAUCAAGUAAUAAUGUAAUAUACAAGGGAGGUAAAAACUCAUGGAAUUUAAAAGCCCCUGCUGUAUAAAAACCC